GACCAUGCAGCAGCUAGGAGUGUCACUUUCUGUGGAGAGGCACAAUUGCAGUGGUUUGCCUUGUUCAAAUUUGAUACCUGGACGAUAUCCAGUGAUUAGCUGCUUCAAUUGGCUUUAUUUAAUUGAAUCGGCACUGUUGCAGUGAUUUGCCCUGUUCAAAUAAACACUGGGACGACACUCAGUGAUCAGUCACUUUAUGGGCUUGAUGUAAUCUAAUUGAUUCAGAAUUACUCUAAAUUUCAAAAAGGUUAUACCCAGUGGAUAAUCAGUGAAAAGGGUUACUUCCAAUUCAAUUUAAAUUGAUACCCCAUAUGGUGAAAUUUGGUCCGAUACUAUUUUAAGCAUUGUUAAAUUGCCUUUUUGAAGACACGAUAAGAUGUAUGUCCAUAUUGUGAUUCUUUGAUUAAUACACCCCUGAUGAAGUCUGUAGGAUGAAACGCGUUGGAUUAGCACAUUGUUCUCUGACAUCUCUACAAAGAAGAUCAUUUUGAUGUUGUUUGAAUUACCAACACAACUAUCAUCUGUACAAACAUUGUUUAUUGUUAUUCUGGGCAAAUUGUAAACAGUUUUAUGUAUUGCUUUUUAAAAAAAUAAACAAUCUCUCUUU